rnacentral:rRNA from 1 species
CUGGCUCAGGAUGAACGCUGGCGGCGUGCUUAAUACAUGCAAGUCGAACGAAGCACUUAUGACAGAUCCCCUCGGGGUGAAGACGUUUGUGACUGAGUGGCGGACGGGUGAGUAACGCGUGGGUAACCUGCCUUAUGCAGGGGGACAACAGUUGGAAACGACUGCUAAUACCGCAUAAGCGCACGGCACCGCAUGGUGCAGUGUGAAAAGAUUUAUCGGCAUAAGAUGGACCCGCGUCUGAUUAGGUAGUUGGUGAGGUAACGGCCCACCAAGCCGACGAUCAGUAGCCGACUUGAGAGAGUGAUCGGCCACAUUGGGACUGAGACACGGCCCAGACUCCUACGGGAGGCAGCAGUAGGGAAUAUUGCACAAUGGGGGAAACCCUGAUGCAAGCGACGCCGCGUGAGUGAUGAAGUAUUUCGGUACGUAAAGCUCUAUCAGCAGGGAAGAUAAUGACGGUACCUGACUAAGAAGCCCCGGCUAACUACGUGCCAGCAGCCGC